CGGCAACGGAUAUCUCGGCUCUCGCAUCGAUGAAGAACGUAGCGAAAUGCGAUACUUGGUGUGAAUUGCAGAAUCCCGUGAACCAUCGAGUCUUUGAACGCAAGUUGCGCCCGAAGCCACCAGGCCGAGGGCACGCCUGCCUGGGCGUCACACGCCGUUGCCCUCC
rnacentral:rRNA from 1 species